rnacentral:rRNA from 1 species
GAAGCGGCAACAGCUCAAAUUUGAAAUCUGGCCCCCCGGGUCCGAGUUGUAAUUUGUAGAGGAUGCUUUUGGCGAGGUGCCUUCCGAGUUCCCUGGAACGGGACGCCAUAGAGGGUGAGAGCCCCGUCUGGUCGGACACCGAGCCUCUGUAAAGCUCCUUCGACGAGUCGAGUAGUUUGGGAAUGCUGCUCAAAAUGGGAGGUAUAUGUCUUCUAAAGCUAAAUAUUGGCCAGAGACCGAUAGCGCACAAGUAGAGUGAUCGAAAGAUGAAAAGCACUUUGAAAAGAGGGUUAAAAAGUACGUGAAAUUGUUGAAAGGGAAGCGCCUAUGACCAGACUUGGGCCCGGUGAAUCAUCCAGCGUUCUCGCUGGUGCACUUUGCCGGGCACAGGCCAGCAUCAGUUUGGCGCGGGGGAUAAAGGCUUUGGGAAUGUGGCUCCCUCGGGAGUGUUAUAGCCCACUGCGCAAUACCCUGCGCCGGACUGAGGUACGCGCAUCGCAAGGAUGCUGGCGUAAUGGUCAUUAGCGACCCGUCUUGAAACACGGACCAAGGAGUCGUCUUCGUAUGCGAGUGUUCGGGUGUCAAACCCCUACGCGUAAUGAAAGUGAACGCAGGUGAGAGCUUCGGCGCAUCAUCGACCGAUCCUGAUGUUCUCGGAUGGAUUUGAGUAAGAGCAUACGGGGCCGGACCCGAAAGAAGGUGAACUAUGCCUGUAUAGGGUGAAGCCAGAGGAAACUCUGGUGGAGGCUCGCAGCGGUUCUGACGUGCGAAUCGAU